GAGAGAAGCUUGCUUUUCUGCUGACGACCGGCGCACGGGUGCGUAACGCGUAUACAAUCUGCCUUAUACAGAGGGAUAGCCUUUAGAAAUGAAGAUUAAUACCUUAUAGUCUAUAUAUAUAGCAUUAUAUAAAUAGUAAAGCUUCGGUGGUAUAAGAUGAGUAUGCGUCCUAUUAGUUAGUUGGUGAGGUAACGGCUUACCAAGACAACGAUAGGUAGGGGCCCUGAGAGGGGGAUCCCCCACACUGGUACUGAGACACGGACCAGACUCCUACGGGAGGCAGCAGUGAGGAAUAUUGGACAAUGGAGGCAACUCUGAUCCAGCCAUGCCGCGUGCAGGAAGACGGCCCUAUGGGUUGUAAACUGCUUUUAUAUAGGAAGAAACCUUUUCACGUGUGAGAAGCUGACGGUACUAUAAGAAUAAGGACCGGCUAACUCCGUGCCAGCAGCCGCGGUAAUACGGAGGGUCCGAGCGUUAUCCGGAAUCAUUGGGUUUAAAGGGUCCGUAGGCGGGAAUCUAAGUCAGUGGUGAAAUCUUGCAGCUCAACUGUAAAAUUGCCAUUGAUACUGGAUUUCUUGAAUUAGUGUGAAGUGAUUAGAAUGUGUAGUGUAGCGGUGAAAUGCAUAGAUAUUACACAGAAUACCAAUUGCGAAGGCAGAUCACUAACACUAUAUUGACGCUGAGGGACGAAAGCGUGGGGAGCGAACAGGAUUAGAUACCCUGGUAGUCCACGCCGUAAACGAUGGAUACUAGCUGUUCGGUCUUCGGACUGAGUGGCUAAGCGAAAGUGAUAAGUAUCCCACCUGGGGAGUACGUUCGCAAGAAUGAAACUCAAAGGAAUUGACGGGGGCCCGCACAAGCGGUGGAGCAUGUGGUUUAAUUCGAUGAUACGCGAGGAACCUUACCAGGGCUUAAAUGUAGUCUGACAGCUUUAGAGAUAGAGUUUUCUUCGGACAGAUUACAAGGUGCUGCAUGGUUGUCGUCAGCUCGUGCCGUGAGGUGUCAGGUUAAGUCCUAUAACGAGCGCAACCCCUGUUGUUAGUUGCCAGCGAGUAAUGUCGGGAACUCUAACAAGACUGCCGGUGCAAACCGUGAGGAAAGGUGGGGA
rnacentral:rRNA from 1 species